GGGAGCAAACAGGAUUAGAUACCCUGGUAGUCCACGCCGUAAACGAUGUCGACUUGGAGGUUGUUCCCUUGAGGAGUGGCUUCCGGAGCUAACGCGUUAAGUCGACCGCCUGGGGAGUACGGCCGCAAGGUUAAAACUCAAAUGAAUUGACGGGGGCCCGCACAAGCGGUGGAGCAUGUGGUUUAAUUCGAUGCAACGCGAAGAACCUUACCUACUCUUGACAUCCACGGAAUUCGGCAGAGAUGCCUUAGUGCCUUCGGGAACCGUGAGACAGGUGCUGCAUGGCUGUCGUCAGCUCGUGUUGUGAAAUGUUGGGUUAAGUCCCGCAACGAGCGCAACCCUUAUCCUUUGUUGCCAGCGAUUCGGUCGGGAACUCAAAGGAGACUGCCGGUGAUAAACCGGAGGAAGGUGGGGAUGACGUCAAGUCAUCAUGGCCCUUACGAGUAGGGCUACACACGUGCUACAAUGGCGCAUACAAAGAGAAGCGACCUCGCGAGAGCAAGCGGACCUCAUAAAGUGCGUCGUAGUCCGGAUCGGAGUCUGCAACUCGACUCCGUGAAGUCGGAAUCGCUAGUAAUCGUGGAUCAGAAUGCCACGGUGAAUACGUUCCCGGGCCUUGUACACACCGCCCGUCACACCAUGGGAGUGGGUUGCAAAAGAAGUAGGUAGCUUAACCUCCGGGAGGGC
rnacentral:rRNA from 1 species